rnacentral:rRNA from 1 species
UACAGAGGGGGCAAGCGUUGUUCGGAAUUACUGGGCGUAAAGGGCGCGUAGGCGGCCUGUUAAGUCGAACGUGAAAUCCCUAGGCUCAACCUAGGAACUGCGUCCGAUACUGGCAGGCUUGAAUCCGGGAGAGGGAUGCGGAAUUCCAGGUGUAGCGGUGAAAUGCGUAGAUAUCAGGAGGAAUACCGGUGGCGAAAGCGACUCUCUGGACGGCAACUGACGCUGAGGCACGAAAGCGUGGGGAGCAAACAGG